rnacentral:rRNA from 1 species
UGGGGAAUUUUGGACAAUGGGGGAAACCCUGAUCCAGCAAUGCCGCGUGUGUGACGAAGGCCUUCGGGUUGUAAAGCACUUUUGGCGGGAACGAAAAAGAACCUGUUAAUACCGGGUUCGAAUGACGGUACCCGCAGAAUAAGCACCGGCUAACUACGUGCCAGCAGCCGCGGUAAUACGUAGGGUGCAAGCGUUAAUCGGAAUUACUGGGCGUAAAGCGUGCGCAGGCGGCUUUGUAAGACAGGCGUGAAAUCCCCGGGCUUAACCUGGGAACUGCGCUUGUGACUGCAAGACUAGAGUGUGUCAGAGGGAGGUGGAAUUCCGCGUGUAGCAGUGAAAUGCGUAGAGAUGCGGAGGAACACCGAUGGCGAAGGCAGCCUCCUGGGAUAACACUGACGCUCAUGCACGAAAGCGUGGGGAGCAAACAGG